rnacentral:rRNA from 1 species
CAGUAGCCGCGGUAAUACGUAGGGUGCGAGCGUUAAUCGGAAUUACUGGGCGUAAAGCGUGCGCAGGCGGCUAUGCAAGACAGAUGUGAAAUCCCCGGGCUCAACCUGGGAACUGCAUUUGUGACUGCAUGGCUAAAGUACGGUAGAGGGGGAUGGAAUUCCGCGUGUAGCAGUGAAAUGCGUAGAUAUGCGGAGGAACACCGAUGGCGAAGGCAAUCCCCUGGACCUGUACUGACGCUCAUGCACGAAAGCGUGGGGAGCAAACAGGAUUAGAUACCCCCGUAGUCCCUGUCUCUUAUAC